UCUCUUGUAGUCUAGUUGGUUAAGAUACUCGACUCUCAUCCAAGAGACCUAGGUUCAAAUCCCAGCAACGAAA
rnacentral:tRNA from 1 species